UACAGAGGUGGCAAGCGUUGUUCGGAAUUACUGGGCGUAAAGGGCGCGUAGGCGGCCAUCUAAGUCAGACGUGAAAUCCCCCGGCUUAACCUGGGAACUGCGUCUGAUACUGGACGGCUUGAGUGCGGGAGAGGGAUGUGGAAUUCCAGGUGUAGCGGUGAAAUGCGUAGAUAUCUGGAGGAACACCGGUGGCGAAGGCGGCAUCCUGGACCGGCAUUGACGCUGAGGCGCGAAAGCCAGGGGAGCAAACGGG
rnacentral:rRNA from 1 species